GCACUGCCGAGGAGUCCCACAAUAGGACGAAACGACCGUCCGGUAC
rnacentral:hammerhead_ribozyme from 1 species